UACGGAGGGUGCAAGCGUUAAUCGGAAUUACUGGGCGUAAAGCGCACGCAGGUGGCUGAGUCAGUCGAUUGUGAAAGCCCUGGGCUUAACCUGGGAAUUGCAUCUGAUACUGUCUGACUAGAGUAUGCUAGAGGGAAGUGGAAUUCCAGGUGUAGCGGUGAAAUGCGUAGAUAUCUGGAGGAACACCAAUGGCGAAGGCAACUUCCUGGGGGCAAUACUGACACUGAUGUGCGAAAGCGUGGGGAGCAAACAGG
rnacentral:rRNA from 1 species